UACGUAGGCAGCAAACGUUGUUCGGAAUUACUGGGCGUAAAGAGCGCGCAGGCGGCUUGGUAAGUCGGAUGUGAAAUCCCGAGGCUCAACCUCGGGUCUGCAUCCGAUACUGCCCGGCUAGAGGUAGGUAGGGGAGAUCGGAAUUCCUGGUGUAGCGGUGAAAUGCGCAGAUAUCAGGAGGAACACCGGUGGCGAAGGCGGGUCUCUGGGCAGUAACUGACGCUGAGGAGCGAAAGCGUGGGGAGCGAACAGG
rnacentral:rRNA from 1 species